UACGGGGGGAGCAAGCGUUGUUCGGAUUUACUGGGCGUAAAGGGCGCGUAGGCGGCCACCGCAAGUCAAUUGUGAAAUCUCCGGGCUUAACUCGGAAAGGUCAACUGAAACUGCGGGGCUAGAGUGCGGAAGGGGCAACUGGAAUUCCUGGUGUAGCGGUGAAAUGCGCAGAUAUCAGGAGGAACACCGAUGGCGAAGGCAGGUCUCUGGGCAUUAACUGACGCUGAGGAGCGAAAGCAUGGGGAGCGAACAGG
rnacentral:rRNA from 1 species